CGGGAAUUUUGGGCAAUGGGCGAAAGCCUGACCCAGCAACGCCGCGUGAGGGAUGAAGUAUUUCGGUAUGUAAACCUCGAAAGAAUGGGAAGAAUAAAUGACGGUACCAUUUAUAAGCUCCGGCUAACUACGUGCCAGCAGCCGCGGUAAUACGUAGGGAGCAAGCGUUGUUCGGAUUUACUGGGCGUAAAGGGCGCGUAGGCGGCGCGGUAAGUCACUUGUGAAAUCUCUGAGCUGAACUCAGAACGGCCAAGUGAUACUGCUGUGCUAGAGUGCGGAAGAGGCAACCGGAAUUCUUGGUGUGGCGGUCAAAUGCGUAGAUAUCAAGAG
rnacentral:rRNA from 1 species